UAGAACCUCAUUUUCGCCCACCCACAUAGAGAACUCCCUCCCACCCGCAAGCGUCGUCGGAGCAGAACUUGCCGUUGACAGACUUUGCAUCGUUCAUCGGAGCCGCCGUCGUUCACCGGAGCCUUGUCCGUUGUCGCUUCGCCGUUUCGAACCACCAACGAACGUGGAAACCACCAUUGACGUGGUUUUUGAAGGUACUAUUGCAAUUGAGGGAGUUGGUCAAUAGAGUGAAGUUUGUAGGAAGAAGUUAGUCUUUAGACAAUGGUGCAAGACGAAGUUGAUAGGUGCUUUGUGGAAGUGAAGAUCCAUGUCAAAGUACGUCGGUUCAACAAGAUGACCACCAAAGCCUAGGGUUUGAAGGUGACGUUCAAAUGAAGCAAAACACUAUGUAUGAUCGAAUGAAGGGUGGACCGCGAAGACGGUUCAAGAGCCGGACGACUAGAACUCCAUUCACCGUAGAUGUAGGAAGAAAACAAUGAGUAGUAGAAUGGGAAAUGCUUUGAUGCACAAAGAAUAGGAAAUGUUUUAGAAUUUGAGAUGACUUUGUUCAAGUACCAUAGGAAAUGUAAUUAUUACUUAAUAUUUUCAUGUACAAAGAAUUGUUGUUUGACAUUAUUUUGAAUUUAAUUUGA